rnacentral:rRNA from 1 species
UACGUAGGCAGCGAGCGUUGUUCGGAGUUACUGGGCGUAAAGGGUGUGUAGGCGGUUCUUUUAAGUUUAGUGUGAAAUCUCCCGGCUCAACCGGGAGGGUGCGCUGAAUACUGAGGGACUAGAGUACGGGAGAGGAAAGUGGAAUUCCUGGUGUAGCGGUGAAAUGCGUAGAGAUCGGAAAGAACACCAACGGCGAAAGCACUCUGCUGGGCCGACACUGACACUGAGAGACGAAAGCUAGGGGAGCGAAUGGG